rnacentral:rRNA from 1 species
UACGGAGGGGGCUAGCGUUGUUCGGAAUUACUGGGCGUAAAGCGCGCGUAGGCGGACCUGCAAGUCGGGGGUGAAAGCCCGAGGCUCAACCUCGGAACUGCCUUCGAUACUGCGGGUCUCGAGUCCGGGAGAGGUGAGUGGAAUUCCUAGUGUAGAGGUGAAAUUCGUAGAUAUUAGGAAGAACACCAGUGGCGAAGGCGGCUCACUGGCUCGGUACUGACGCUGAGGCGCGAAAGCGUGGGGAGCAACAGG